AGUUGAGCGGAGAUAUAUGGAGCUUGCUUUAUAUAACUUAGCAGCGAACGGGUGAGUAACACGUAGAUAAUCUAUCCUAUACUGGGGGAUAGCCCGAUGAAAGUUGGAUUAAUACCGCAUAUAGCUAUAUAGUUGCAUGAUUAUGUAGUGAAAGAUUUAUUGGUAUAGGAGGAGUCUGCGGCACAUUAGCUAGUAGGUGAGGUAAAGGCUUACCUAGGCGACGAUGUGUAGCCGGUCUGAGAGGAUGAACGGCCACAAUGGAACUGAGACACGGUCCAUACUCCUACGGGAGGCAGCAGUGGGGAAUAUUGCACAAUGGGGGAAACCCUGAUGCAGCAACGCCGCGUGAGUGAAGAAGGUUUUCGGAUUGUAAAGCUCUGUUAGCAGGGAAGAGGAAGGACGGUACCUGCAGAGGAAGCCACGGCUAACUACGUGCCAGCAGCCGCGGUAAUACGUAGGUGGCAAGCGUUGUUCGGAAUAACUGGGCGUAAAGGAUGCGUAGGCGGUUAAACAAGUUAUAUGUUAAAUAUAUAGGCUUAACCUGUAGAAAGCAUAUAAAACUGUUUAACUAGAGUGCAGGAGAGGUAAGUGGAAUUCCUAGUGUAGCGGUGAAAUGUGUAGAGAUUAGGAAGAACACCAGUGGCGAAGGCGACUUACUGGACUGUAACUGACGCUGAGGCAUGAGAGCAUGGGGAGCAAACAGGAUUAGAUACCCUGGUAGUCCAUGCUGUAAACGAUGGGUACUAGGUGUGGGUUGUGAAUAACAAUUCGUGCCGUCGCAAACGCAAUAAGUACCCCGC
rnacentral:rRNA from 1 species